rnacentral:rRNA from 1 species
UACAGAGGGGGCAAGCGUUGUUCGGAAUUACUGGGCGUAAAGGGCGCGUAGGCGGCCUUCUAAGUCGAACGUGAAAUCCCCGGGCUCAACCCGGGAACUGCGUCCGAUACUGGAAGGCUUGAAUCCGGGAGAGGGAUGCGGAAUUCCAGGUGUAGCGGUGAAAUGCGUAGAUAUCAGGAGGAACACCGGUGGCGAAGGCGGGUCUCUGGGCCGAUACUGACGCUGAGGCACGAAAGCGUGGGGAGCAAACAGG